CAGUCGCCGCGGUAACACGAAGGGUGCAAGCGUUACUCGGAAUUACUGGGCGUAAAGCGUGCGUAGGUGGUGGUUUAAGUCCGUUGUGAAAGCCCUGGGCUCAACCUGGGAAUUGCAGUGGAUACUGGGUCACUAGAGUGUGGUAGAGGAUAGUGGAAUUUCCGGUGUAGCAGUGAAAUGCGUAGAGAUCGGGAGGAACAUCAGUGGCGAAGGCGGCCAUCUGGGACAACACUGACGCUGAGGCACGAAAGCGUGGGGAGCAAACAGGAUUAGAUACCCGCGUAGUCCCUGUCUCUUAUAC
rnacentral:rRNA from 1 species